AUGCAAGUCGAGCGGUAACAGGUCCAGCUUGCUGGAUGCUGACGAGCGGCGGACGGGUGAGUAACGCAUAGGAAUCUACCCGGUAGUGGGGGAUAACCUGGGGAAACCCAGGCUAAUACCGCAUACGUCCUACGGGAGAAAGGGGGCUUUGGCUCCCGCUAUUGGAUGAGCCUAUGCCGGAUUAGCUGGUUGGUGAGGUAAUGGCUCACCAAGGCGACGAUCCGUAGCUGGUCUGAGAGGAUGAUCAGCCACAUCGGGACUGAGACACGGCCCGAACUCCUACGGGAGGCAGCAGUGGGGAAUAUUGGACAAUGGGGGCAACCCUGAUCCAGCCAUGCCGCGUGUGUGAAGAAGGCCCUCGGGUUGUAAAGCACUUUCAGCGAGGAAGAACGCCUGUCGGUUAAUACCCGGCAGGAAAGACAUCACUCGCAGAAGAAGCACCGGCUAACUCCGUGCCAGCAGCCGCGGUAAUACGGAGGGUGCAAGCGUUAAUCGGAAUUACUGGGCGUAAAGCGCGCGUAGGUGGCUUGAUAAGCCGGUUGUGAAAGCCCCGGGCUCAACCUGGGAACGGCAUCCGGAACUAUUAGGCUAGAGUGCAGGAGAGGAAGGUAGAAUUCCCGGUGUAGCGGUGAAAUGCGUAGAGAUCGGGAGGAAUACCAGUG
rnacentral:rRNA from 1 species